UACGUAGGGUGCAAGCGUUGUCCGGAAUUAUUGGGCGUAAAGAGCUCGUAGGCGGUCUGUCGCGUCUGCUGUGAAAACUCAGGGCUUAACCCUGAGCUUGCAGUGGGUACGGGCAGACUAGAGUGCGGUAGGGGAGACUGGAAUUCCUGGUGUAGCGGUGAAAUGCGCAGAUAUCAGGAGGAACACCGGUGGCGAAGGCGGGUCUCUGGGCCGUAACUGACGCUGAGGCGCGAAAGCAUGGGGAGCGAACAGG
rnacentral:rRNA from 1 species